GACGGAGGAUGCAAGCGUUACUCGGAAUUACUGGGCGUAAAGGGUGAGUAGGCGGCUGAGCAAGUCAAGGAUGAAAGCCCGAGGCUCAACUUCGGAAUUGUCCUUGAAACUGCUCAGCUUGAGGGUAGUUGAGGAGAGUGGAAUUCCCGGUGGAGCGGUGAAAUGCGUAGAUAUCGGGAGGAACACCUGAGGCGAAGGCGGCUCUCUAAGCUAUUCCUGACGCUGAAUCACGAAAGCUAGGGGAUCAAACGGG
rnacentral:rRNA from 1 species